rnacentral:lncRNA from 1 species
CCAGAUGAGGAAUAAAGAAAAAUUGUUUAUAGCCUUAAAUGCUUUCUUUGCAGUUUUCCUUCUGUCUAUUGGACUGGACACAUUUUCUGCCGUCACAGACCAGUGAUUAGACAUCAGAUUACGUCUUGAUGUUAUAACUGUGCUGCCCUCUAAUGGAGGUCUGGGAAUCCCAGUUUCCGCGGGACUCAGCACUCCAUUUUGGAAUCAAUCCAGCUCAGGAAGCUCCAAUAAAACAUGAAACCUCUUCUAGUGAUGUCUUCUGGAUAAUACAAAAACUCUUCUGUAUAUCUCUCUUGGAUAAACUAACAUAAGAAGAAAGAUAACUUUCCUCAGGCAAGAAGCGUGGUCUGCUUUAAGUGCUCCUGCAGAAACUUAAGUGGCAGAUGGUCGACUGCCUUGGAGUUAUACAGAUAGAAAUUGUAAAGUUUGUAAAUGAAAUAAGACACCUGAGGG